rnacentral:rRNA from 1 species
AGUGAACGCUGGCGGUAGGCCUAACACAUGCAAGUCGAACGGCAGCACAGUAAGAGCUUGCUCUUACGGGUGGCGAGUGGCGGACGGGUGAGGAAUACAUCGGAAUCUACUUUUUCGUGGGGGAUAACGUAGGGAAACUUACGCUAAUACCGCAUACGACCUACGGGUGAAAGCAGGGGAUCUUCGGACCUUGCGCGAUUGAAUGAGCCGAUGUCGGAUUAGCUAGUUGGCGGGGUAAAGGCCCACCAAGGCGACGAUCCGUAGCUGGUCUGAGAGGAUGACCACCCCCCCUGGAACUGAACCACGCUCAGGCCCCCUCCGGGAGGAGCCGGGGGGGAAUUUUGGACAAGGGGCGCAGGCCUGACCCACCCAUCCCGGGGGGGUGAAGAGGGCUUCGGGUUUUUAAAGCCUUUUUUUUGGGAAAAAAAAGCAGCAGUUUAAUCCCCCCCUUUUCUGACGUUCCCAAAAAAAUAAGCCCCGGCUAACUUCGUC